GAAACCUCGGCGCGCAACGGCCCUGGAGGCUUAAAGCUUCCCCACCAGCCUCUCUCCGCUCGUCUUACGUUAGAAAACACGCUGUCUGGCACACGUGUGUCUAAUUUAGGUGACAGCGCGGCGGUUUCCGUUACAAGGAAAUGAUGGAGGAGGAAAGUUUGUGACGCCUGUGCGCUUUUGCUCGCUGGGACUGUCCGCAGGAAAACGGGACAUCAUUUCGCUCUGCGCAGUUUGCUCGUCCUCGUUGCAGCGUGCGGACACUGGAAUCUGAGAAAUCUGUAUGGAUUUGGGAUGAAUAAGGUGUCUGACAGUGAAAUGUCUGAGCGUCGGAAAUGCGUCUCCACGUCUUUCUGUUGCAUUUCAUCAUCACAACAGAUACAACAUUGGCCUUGUCGCACCAGCUCUGUGGUGGAAAUGUCAGCCUGGACCAAGAGCCUGCUGGUCACAUUAGUCUCACCCUGCCUGGACUGUUUACUGAUGCCAACACACUCGGCCCAGUGAGCCAACAGACCUCGGCACCUUCAGUUUGCACUUGGAUGAUACAUAUUCCUCAGGGGAGGACAGUACUUUUAAAGUUGGCAUGGCUAGAAAGUGGAUCGAGCAUAUCUGUGCGCUGUGUCCGGGACAAGGAAAGUCGGGUUUUGAAGAGCGGGCAGACGGCUCUGCUCUCUUACUGUGACAGAAACAACGCUGUUAUCAUUUGGACUGGAGCAGGAUACUCCUCAAAGGCGGUCCGGCUUGCGUAUUCUGUCCAGGAAGAUGAGAGGAAUUCCUCGGAGGCCCAAGCAACGCACGAUCCAGACCUCGCUCAUUGGUCCCAGACAGGAACCAGCUUUACAAGCACUGCCCCUGUUGGCCAAGAGCUGGUUAGAGGCACAGAUGGGGGCAGAGGUCACCUCUACGGAGGUCUGGAGCCUCAGUCCGUGUCUAGUGCCUCCUUCUCUCAGGUCCAGGGCCUGCUGCACCCCACCACACCCCAGCAGGGACUCCCUGUCGCUGGUGGAACUGAUAGGGAAACUCUCCCGCUUCCUGAGGAAAAACCAAACAAUGGAGCGGAUGCAUCUGCAGCGGCUCACCUCACAGAUAUACCAGUGACUGCCAGAGAAGGAACACACCCAUAUUUUCAGCGUGCUCCGAGCACAGACACGACGAACACAAGCACUGAGACAGCUCAGAUUUUUCUGACAGAUACACCAGACAUACAAAAAUAUAUGUCAAAAUAUACGUCAAAACCCAGAGCCCCAAAGCCCAGAGACGAACAUGCAACCACACAAACCGACCAAAGUGCGUCCAGCUCAGGUACUCUGCUUCUCACUGAGCUACCUUCCCGGACAACGUGGGAGAGUGACACCGUCCUGAUCCCACGUGGUGGAGCUGCCAGUGGGACACCUGGACGUAAACACAUGUGGAGGAGCCAGAGAAGCACAGACGCACUCAACUCUGAUCUGACUUCUGCCACCACCUUUAACCCUGCGAAAGCAUCCACCAAAUCUCCACAGCACGACUCAAGCAGCGGAGAAACUGACACCGAACCCACUUCAUCAUCAUCACCAUCAUCAUCAUCAUCAUCAUCAUCAUCAUCAUCAUCACAGGGCUCCACCAGGACUCAUUCAUCUACCACCCACAUCACAGAGCUCAACACUGCUGUUGGUACAGUUCAUCCAAACUUAAGUCACAGUGACUCAUUUGAAUCUGGUGCUUCAGAUGUUUCUACUCUUCAGACUCUGACUUCCACGUCACACAGUCAGACAGCAUCUCCUCAAAGCACAGAGAGCGCCACACACUCGCCACGCAUGUCCUCCACGCUCACACGGACAAGCGACAAAGACAAACAAACUUCAACAGAGAGCACACAGGCACAUUUCAUUAGCGAGGACAUCACUACCAACGUCGUCUCCUCCCGGCCCGACGAGCAAACGCCAGGGUUCACCGGUUCUGUUUCCACACCUGGAGCAGCUCUGACGACAAGAGAUGUCGUCCAGAACCCAUCCGUCGCAGGAGCCACCGGAGAAACGUCAACACUGCAUCGUCCCACUCACACAAUGCCACACAACAGCAGCUCAUCUGCAGAUUCGCCAACUUCUGUUCCUACCCUGCCGUCGGACUCAUCUAUGGAGUCAUCUACGCCUUUGUCCAUGCUCCAAACACACACUCCGUCUCCUGAUAGGUCACACAGCACCAUUUCAGCCUCCUCUACCACUCAGCCCACCAUGCAAACAGGCACUGUGGAUCACAAAACCACACUUGCAUCUUUACGAACGAUGCGCACACCUCAGACGCAACAGCCUCUGCAGACCUCCACUAAGAUAUCUCCUACACACACACAGGCACACACCAUUAUUAGUACUACUGCUACUACGCAUACUUCUGUGUUUCCGCUUACAACUGUAAAAUCUGAAGACCGGCAGUGGUCUCCUAGCAGCACGACCACACGCACUCCCACAAGUGGAACCCUACCCGAGACGACCCUACAUCCCAGCCACAAGGAGCAUUUGACGCCUUCGGUUAUAACCUCCACUUGGAGCUCCACAAAGAGCCCCACGUUCUACAUUGUGCCAGACCGGCCUGCCGCCAUCAGAGUGGAGUCGAUUGAGCUGCUGCUGCAGAUCGUCGUAGAAGAGUCCAGAUCGACUUUUGCUGCCGGACUAGAAGAAGACACCACAGCCUGGGUGGAGCCGUACUUACAGAAGGCUCCGGGGUUCAGGAGGCUGCUGGGAGUCUGGAGCAGUGGCCAUGCAGUGCAGAGUCUGGUGGAGUUUAAAACCAGCAGGGCUCUGCCGUGGCUCACCACGUCAGGACCCACAUCGCUGCUGGAGCGAACAGGCCUAGCUCAGGCCGUCCGCGAGGGGAGGACAUUCAGAUCAUCCAAGAUCACCAACAUCACACUCGGAGGCCUGCAGGGCGAUGUGUGUCACUGGUUACUGCAGUGUCCCUCAGGCUACAAAUGUGUGCCCCAGCCUGUCACUGCAAACUAUAGCUGUUCCUCUGUCUGCCGCUUUGACUACUGCCACCACCACGGCAUCUGCACACACCAUCCAGGACAACUUCCAGUGUGCCGCUGCCUUGUAGGCGACGACUUCUGGUACAUGGGUCAGAGGUGUGACGUGAGGAUGACUCGAGCGCGGCUCGUGGGCGCGUGUCUUGCCAUCUUGAUCGUCAUGGUGACGGUCAUUGGCGUUUUGGCCUUUGUGGCGGUGCGCCGCUACCGAGCCAUGCUGAUCCAGGCCAAAGUGGACCAGACUCGCAGCAGCUACCGCAGGUUCAACCACUUCGAUGAGCUGUCGGGUCGCUUCUGGUUGCGCUCAUGGGCCGGUUCAGCCGACUCGCUGGAUAAUCCUGCCUUCACACGCUCCGAUGAGUUGCUGCAUCUGCGGGCGCUCGACCGCCCCUGCUGUUACCACGACGACACGCUGUCACUGGCCUCCACCUGCCCCAGCCACGGGACGCGCGUCAACACAAUCUAUCCCCACAGAGCUGAGCAAAAAUGCUUGAACCGCUGGAAACGUACCAAUCCACAAUAUCCUUUCGAAACAGCUUUACACGGUCACCCCAAGCGAAAUAGUUUUGGAACAGGUUGUUACGGCAGAGUGAGAUGAAAGCAGCCAACAAGUGCUCGGCACAUGUGGGAACUCCUUCAGGACGGUUGGGAAAAACUCCAGCUGACUUCAUGAAACUGGUUGAAGAAAAAAAGCUCCCAGUACGGUUGGAGGGGAAGUGAGAUGAGUAUGGGGGACGGUGUGUUGGACUCAGGUAAGGCCAGUGACCUUUCCGUCUGCAGCUGGCCAGUGGAACCCAUUCACUGGACUCCAUUCCCACUUCUGCAGCAGCUGGCCUCCCA